rnacentral:rRNA from 1 species
UACGUAGGGUGCAAGCGUUGCCCGGAAUUACUGGGCGUAAAGCGUGCGCAGGCGGCGCGUUAAGACAGGUGUGAAAGCCCCGAGCUUAACUUGGGAAUUGCGCUUGUGACUGGCGAGCUGGAGUGUGGCAGAGGGAGGUGGAAUUCCACGUGUAGCAGUGAAAUGCGUAGAGAUGUGGAGGAACACCGAUGGCGAAGGCAGCCUCCUGGGCCAGCACUGACGCUCAUGCACGAAAGCGUGGGGAGCAAACAGG